rnacentral:rRNA from 1 species
AGAGUUUGAUCAUGGCUCAGGAUGAACGCUAGCGGCAGGCUUAAUACAUGCAAGUCGAGGGGCAGCAGUCCCGUAGCAAUACGGGAACUGGCGACCGGCAAACGGGUGCGGAACACGUACGCAACUUUCCUUCAACUGAGGAAUAGCCCAGGGAAACUUGGAUUAAUACCUCGUAAUAUUAUGAAAUGGCAUCAUUUUAUAAUUAUAGCUCCGGCGGUUGAAGAUGGGCGUGCGCCUGAUUAGGUAGUUGGCGGGGUAACGGCCCACCAAGCCUACGAUCAGUAACUGGUGUGAGAGCACGACCAGUCACACGGGCACUGAGACACGGGCCCGACUCCUACGGGAGGCAGCAGUAAGGAAUAUUGGGCAAUGGACGCAAGUCUGACCCAGCCAUGCCGCGUGGAGGAUGAAGGUCCUCUGGAUUGUAAACUUCUUUUAUUUGGGAAGAAACCCAUAUUUUCUAAUGUGGUUGACGGUACCAGAUGAAUAAGCACCGGCUAACUCCGUGCCAGCAGCCGCGGUAAUACGGAGGGUGCAAGCGUUAUCCGGAUUCACUGGGUUUAAAGGGUGCGUAGGUGGGCAGGUAAGUCAGUGGUGAAAUCUCCGGGCUUAACCCGGAAACUGCCGUUGAUACUAUCUGUCUUGAAUAUCGUGGAGGUUAGCGGAAUAUGUCAUGUAGCGGUGAAAUGCUUAGAUAUGACAUAGAACACCGAUUGCGAAGGCAGCUAACUACACGAUCAUUGACACUGAGGCACGAAAGCGUGGGGAGCAAACAGGAUUAGAUACCCUAGUAGUCC